rnacentral:rRNA from 1 species
GACAGAGGGUGCAAACGUUGCUCGGAAUCACUGGGCGUAAAGGGCGUGUAGGCGGGUAGAUAAGUCGGGCGUGAAAUCCCUAGGCUCAACCUAGGAACUGCACUCGAAACUGUUUAUCUUGAGUGCCGGAGAGGAAAGCGGAAUUCCUGGUGUAGAGGUGAAAUUCGUAGAUAUCAGGAGGAACACCAGUGGCGAAGGCGGCUUUCUGGACGGUAACUGGACGCUGAGACGCGAAAGCGUGGGGAGCAAACAGG